rnacentral:lncRNA from 1 species
UUCUUUUUUUUUUUUUUUUUUUUUUUUAAAGACUUUAUUUAUUAUUAUAGUAAGUACACUGUAGCUAUCUUCAGACACACCAGAAGAGGGAGUCAGAUCUUGUUACGGAUGGUUGUGAGCCACCAUGUGGUUGCUGGGAUAUGAACCCUGGACCUUCGGAAGAACAGUCGGGUGCUCUUACCCACUGAGCCAUCUCACCAGCCCCGAGAUGUGUUUUCUUUACCAUGAUAACUGAGUGUGUAUGGGAUACAAUGGUUAGAGCUGAGUAGUCCCAUAGACUGCCUGCUAUGACUGAGAGGAGGUAAGUAACCAAGACCAAAGUAGUAAUUAGUGUUUUUAAAGGACUUGAUUGUGUAAAAAGGACAAUUUGACUAUUUUACUGGGCAUUUCUUGAAUGUUUGGGAAAUACUAAGGGUUUUAAGAUCUGGUUAUAUUUCUUAGGGAUUAGACCACGGGCAAAUGUAGCAGACAGGUCAGUCCUUGCCGAUGCUGUCAACCUCUCUAUAGGUAGAACUAGUGUACAGUGUUAGUUUGGUUAUUUUGAGGUGGAGUCUCCCUUUUUUGAUAAUGCUAGCCUACAGCUCAAAAUCUUUCAAUUUGAACUUUCCCAGUAGCUUGGUUUUACAGGUGUGUGUAGCACGCUAGGCCAAGAGUGCUUAAAAAAAAAAACAAACAAAAUUUACUAUUACAUUUGUGUAAAGGUUACUCUUUGAGGGUUGUGAUGUUUGGGGCUGGGAAUGUUUUUGGUAGAAUAAUGGUACAGCUUUUGGCUAGUUUCCUUGUCAAUUGCCAGUGCUGGGAGAAAGAAAUCCCAUGGAAACACAUACCAGUAAUUCCAACACUGAAAACCGAGGCAAGAGGAUAACUGACAGUUUGAAGCUAGCCUGGGCUACAGAGGGAGACAUUGUCUCAAAACAAUCUAUUAGUGGGGCCUGCAUGGAGUUCUCAGUGGGUUCAGACGCCUGCUAACAUGCCUGACCAUCUGAGUCUGAUCUCUGAAACCCACGUGGUGGGAGGAAAGAACUGACUCCUGCAAGGUGUGUUCUGACCUCCACGCAUUGUGGCAUGUGCAUUCUCAUAUAUAUGUACAUGUAUGUGUGCACACAAAUGUAAUGUGUUAAUAUGUCCUCAGUUCUAACUUCUGUUACUAAAUAAAAAUUUGAUUCAGCAGUGAAAUGAACUAGUAUGACCCUUUUUAAAAAUAAAGCAAAUAAGCUGGGCGAGGUGGCGCACGCCUUGAAUCCCAGCACUCAAGAGGCAGAGGCAGGCAGAUUUCUGAGUUCGAGGCCAGCCUGGUCUACGAAGUGAGUUCCAGGACAGCCAGAGCUAUACAGAGAAACCCUGUCUCGAAAAACCAAUAAAUGAGUGAAUGAAUGAAUGAAUAAAUAAAUAAAUAAAUAAAUAAAUAAAAUAAGACGAAUAGUGGGGCAUUCUUUAGUUCUUUAUUCUAUCUUGAGGAAAAAGGUUUAAGAAGAUCCUUAAAUCCCGGUGUGGUAUUGUACACCUUUAAUUUCAGGAUUCCACAGGCAAGUAAUCUCUUGUGAGUUCCAGGCCAGCCUGGUCUACCUAGUGAGACCCUGUCAUUAAAAAAAAAAAGAAAAAAACUAAACAAAAGGAUAUGGCUGAUAAAAUUUGAGGCUUGGGAAGUGUCUUAGAGUUUGUGGAGGAAGCCUUGGAUUUUAUCCCUAGCCCUUCAUUUACCAUUGUGACACAAGCCUGUAAUCCUGGCACUCAGCAGGUAGAUGGUGGAUCAGGUCAAAAGGAUUUAGUUGCCUACAUAGCAAGAUAAUAGACCACAAGAUACACAAGACCCUGUUUGAAAAUGUAAAAUUUGUUAAGCUAAGGGAGAAGUUAGUCUUUGUGGUGAUAGAGAAUUCAGUCAGUCCAAGAAUUAAGACUCAAAGCAGUUCACAAACUGACAUGUGUUACAAAUACCAAGGCACUGGAAUUUGGAAAACUGCUAAGCGCGGUGCCUCAGGCUUUAAUCCUAGCACUGCAGAGGCAACGGCAAGUGAGUCUAUAGGCAAGGCAUCCUGGCCCAGGGAAGUUUCAGACUAGCUAGGGUUGCAUGGUUGAGACCAUAUCUCAACAACAUUUUUUAAGAUGGAAUUGUUUGUGGAUAUAAUACAUUAAAGGAUAGAUUUUCAGGUGGUAAAAAAGCUGAUAUGAGCUUACCAAGGUUGGGGCAAAAAUAAGGAG